GUGUGUGCAGCAGGUGUCCAGGAGAAGAAGUGUUGUGUGUCAGUGGAUAUGUGACGAUGGCAGCUGACGGACUUAUUGGGUGUUUUUGUGAGGUUUGUUAGCCUCCCUGUAGACUUAUGAAGACACACAGAGAGUACAACAGGAGACAAAUAGUUAUUGGGGGCGCUGGAACGACGCUCGAUUUUAAAACAUUCCACUGACCUUAAGAAGAGCUCUUGCAAUGGCUAUCCUCUGCUUCUGACCACCUGGGACACAAACACAAAAUCCUUAUUCACUCAAAAGCUCCCACAGUCUCGUUCCUGCACCGAAGCCCUUCAUCAACUCCGAGUAGAACGUACUCAGACCUGCCACACGGAAACACGGUGACCAACUAUCCAGAGGGAUCCACUCACCAUCAUACUGACGCCAGCGAUGGCCUGGGCCGAGGCUCUCAGGCCGUCGGACAGAUUGUCGGUGAUGGAGCGUCCGACUACGGCCGUAUCUGCGGAUAGGCGAUUGAUCAGCUCGCCCGU